UACGUAGGUGACCAGCGUUGUCCGGAUUUACUGGGCGUAAAGAGCGCGCAGGCGGUCGUUCAAGUCGAGUGUGAAAGCCCCCGGCUCAACUGGGGAGGGUCAUUCGAUACUGAUCGACUUGAAGGCAGGAGAGGGAAGUGGAAUUCCCGGUGUAGUGGUGAAAUGCGUAGAUAUCGGGAGGAACACCAGUGGCGAAGGCGACUACCUGGCCUGUUCUUGACGCUGAGGCGCGAAAGCUAGGGUAGCAAACGGG
rnacentral:rRNA from 1 species